rnacentral:rRNA from 1 species
AGCGAACGUUAGCGGCGGGCCUAACACAUGCAAGUCGAACGAGAAAAUCCCUUCGGGGGUGAGUACAGUGGCGCACGGGUGAGGAACGCGUAGGUAAUCUACCGUUUGGCGGGGGACAACACUCCGAAAGGAAUGCUAAUACCGCGUAAGACCACACUCACUACGGUGAGAGCGGUUAAAGGUGGCCUCUUCUUGAAAGCUACCACCAAACGAUGAGCCUGCGUCCCAUCAGCUUGUUGGUGAGGUAAAAGCUUACCAAGGCGAAGACGGGUAGCUGGUCUGAGAGGAUGAUCAGCCACACUGGUACUGGAACACGGACCAGACUCCUACGGGAGGCAGCAGUGAGGAAUAUUGGGCAAUGGGCGCAAGCCUGACCCAGCCACGCCGCGUGUGUGAUGAAGGCCUUCGGGUCGUAAAGCACUGUGGGGAGAGACGAAAAACUUCCGUUCGAAUAGGGCGGAAGCUUGACGGUACCUCCUUAGCAAGCACCGGCUAACUCUGUG